rnacentral:rRNA from 1 species
UACGAAGGGUGCAAACGUUGCUCGGAAUUAUUGGGCGUAAAGCGCACGUAGGCGGCUUUGCAAGUCGGAUGUGAAAUCCCUCGGCUUAACCAAGGAAGUGCAUCCGAAACUGCAGAGCUUGAGUACUUAAGAGGAUCGCGGAAUUCCCGGUGUAGAGGUGAAAUUCGUAGAUAUCGGGAGGAACACCAGUGGCGAAGGCGGCCUUCUGGACAGUGACUGACGCUGAGACGCGAAAGCGUGGGGAGCAAACAGG